AUGUUGACACAGUUAACCCCUGUACAUAAACUGAACUAUGGAUGAUCAAGGUAACUUACAGAAGUUAGUACUUGAAUAUGGAGCAGAGAAGAAUGCUUGGAGCUUCUUAGAAUGAUCAGUAGUUGUGUUUUGAGUUGUGUGAAUGUUGUAACUACAACAUGGCUAUUUAUAGUGCAUUUUAGGCUCCAAGAUCAUUCCACAUUGCCCUACAACUGGUCAUGGAUGAUGGGCAGGUGUCCCUAAGGGUUAUGGGUCGUGUAGGGGGCGCCCAUGCUCCAUUAAUUGGUGUUUGAUCGUUCAAAAGCUCCAAAAGGCAAGAAACUACAAAGUUUCUGCAUCUGGGCACUUUACGCGGCCCGCAUGGGAGUUCCCAUGCAUUUUAAUGCGGGUCGCCUAAAGAUCAAAUAUCAGUUGCGUAUUUGAGGUGGCUCGCGGCCCGCCUCAACUUAGCUAUAACCUUCAUGCGGGUCGCGUGAGGUUAAGAUUUCAGAAAUUUUAAAUCUUUUUGUAAUGAUUGCAGAAUCCGGCCAUUAAUAAUGAAAUCUUUCGUAAUGAUUUACCUGACCUUUCG
rnacentral:lncRNA from 1 species